GGUAGGCUGGCUGAGUCUGGCUGAAGGCACCCGCCCGGAAAGCGGACAGACCGCAAGGUCUCCAGGGUUCAAAUCCCUGGCCUACCUCCA
rnacentral:tRNA from 1 species